GACAGAGGGUGCAAACGUUGUUCGGAAUUACUGGGCGUAAAGCGCGUGUAGGCUGCUUGGAAAGUCGGAUGUGAAAGCCCUGGGCUCAACCCAGGAAGUGCACUCGAAACUUCCGAGCUCGAGUUCUGGAGAGGAUAGCGGAAUUCUCGGUGUAGAGGUGAAAUUCGUAGAUAUCGAGAGGAACACCGGUGGCGAAGGCGGCUAUCUGGACAGAAACUGACGCUGAGGCGCGGAAGCUAGGGGAGCAAACGGG
rnacentral:rRNA from 1 species